rnacentral:rRNA from 1 species
UACGUAGGGGCAAGCGUUAUCCGGAUUUACUGGGUGUAAAGGGAGCGCAGACGGAACUGCAAGUCUGAUGUGAAAGCCCACGGCUUAACCGUGGGGGGUCAUUGGAAACUGGUCGACUUGAGUGCAGAAGAGGGAAGUGGAAUUCCAUGUGUAGCGGUGAAAUGCGUAGAGAUAUGGAGGAACACCAGUGGCGAAGGCGACUUUCUGGUCUAUUAUUGACGCUGAGGCUCGAAAGCAUGGGUAGCAAACAGGAUUAGAUACCCGGGUA